AUGAAAAGGAUGUUGGCU
rnacentral:piRNA from 1 species